UACGUAGGGUGCAAGCGUUAAUCGGAAUUACUGGGCGUAAAGCGUGCGCAGGCGGUUCGGGAAGAGAGGUGUGAAAUCCCAGGGCUUAACCUUGGAACUGCACUUUUAACUACCGGGCUAGAGUACGUCAGAGGGGGGUAGAAUUCCACGUGUAGCAGUGAAAUGCGUAGAGAUGUGGAGGAAUACCGAUGGCGAAGGCAGCCCCCUGGGAUGAUACUGACGCUCAUGCACGAAAGCGUGGGGAGCAAACAGG
rnacentral:rRNA from 1 species